AUUGAACGCUGGCGGCAUGCCUAACACAUGCAAGUCGAACGGUAACAGGAAGCAGCUUGCUGCUUUGCUGACGAGUGGCGGACGGGUGAGUAAUGUCUGGGAAACUGCCUGAUGGAGGGGGAUAACUACUGUAAACGGUAGCUAAUACCGCAUAACGUCGCAAGACCAAAGAGGGGGACCUUCGGGCCUCUUGCCAUCGGAUGUGCCCAGAUGGGAUUAGCUAGUAGGUGGGGUAACGGCUCACCUAGGCGACGAUCCCUAGCUGGUCUGAGAGGAUGACCAGCCACACUGGAACUGAGACACGGUCCAGACUCCUACGGGAGGCAGCAGUGGGGAAUAUUGCACAAUGGGCGCAAGCCUGAUGCAGCAAUGCCGCGUGUAUGAAGAAGGCCUUCGGGUUGUAAAGUACUUUCAGCCGGGAGGAAGGGAGUAAAGUUAAUACCUUUGCUCAUUGACGUUACCCGCAGAAGAAGCACCGGCUAACUACGUG
rnacentral:rRNA from 1 species